GUUGUGGACGGCGGGGCGGCCGGCCCCCGCCGCCCCCACUCCCCCUGCACCCCGAGGUCUUCUUAGCCCCUUAGAGCGUCGUGCGUGUUCAGACCCUUUGGGCAGUAGAAACGGCAAAAGAAAAUGCUUGCUCAGAUUCCCAGUGCUUUGGCACGUUUCAGGGUCCUCCCAGUGUCUUCGGGAAAACUUCGACCGUCGAUGCAGCACCUGUGAUGUGGUCUAAACACAGGAAAGUUUUCAUUCCAGUACAGUUGACGUACCAUACGACAUUAGCUUCAGAUGCACAAUAGAGCGAUUCAAGAAUUAUGAACGUCAGUCGGUGCUCAUGAUAAGUAUACCCUUCAUCCCCUGCCCCUGUUUCACCUGUUCCCCCCACCUCCCUCCGGUCACCAUCAGUUUGUUCUCUAUAGUUAAGAGUGCGAACUGGGAUCUUACCCUGUUUAUCUUCGUGUCUCUAAGGGCUGGCUUAUUGUAGGAGUCCCGUAAAUGCUUGUGGAUGAAAACGCAGCAGUAAAAAUCUCUCUCUGGGUAUUAGUUUACUCAUGUGUAAGAUGAGGGACCGUUAAUGGCUCCCCAGCACUAGCUCUAACAUUCCAAGACUCCGCGUGCUCUUAGUCAGUGAUCAUUUGUGGACACAGUGAUAUUAAGUGGAUGACGGAAUUGCACACUUGCUCCUAAAAGUUGAUAGGAUGUGUGUGUAACCGCCUUUGAAUGUAGGGUGGCAGAAAGUACUAUCUGGAGACCUGCCCACUAGCUUGCUGUUUCCUUGGGCAGAUAACUUGACCUUGCUGAUUUUUUAUUUCUCCCUCUUUAAAAUGAGAAGGUGGUAGUAGACGCGUAUGUCCUUUCAGUCGUAAUUAGUUUUACAAUUACAUUUUGUUGUUUUUAUAUUUAUCUUAGAGUUUUAGUAGUCACUCUUUCUUAUGGUUUUAUGUGAGCCAGUCCUCGGGGAAAAAAAAAAUGUCUUGUCUGCCAGCAGCCAUACUUACAUGGGUAAUGGAAGAUUGCAGAGUUUGAAAGUGGCUCAAGAGGCAAUU